GGCUGUCGAGCGGUAAGGCCCUUUCGGGGGUACACGAGCGGCGAACGGGUGAGUAACACGUGAGUAAUCUGCCCUCCACUUCGGGAUAAGCCUCGGAAACGGGGUCUAAUACCGGAUAUGACGGUCGCAUGCAUGUGUGGUCGUGGAAAGUUUUUUCGGUGGGGGAUGUGCUCGCGGCCUAUCAGCUUGUUGGUGGGGUAAUGGCCUACCAAGGCUUCGACGGGUAGCCGGCCUGAGAGGGUGACCGGCCACACUGGGACUGAGACACGGCCCAGACUCCUACGGGAGGCAGCAGUGGGGAAUAUUGGACAAUGGGCGGAAGCCUGAUCCAGCAACGCCGCGUGAGGGAUGACGGCCUUCGGGUUGUAAACCUCUUUCAGUAGGGACGAAGCGCAAGUGACGGUACCUACAGAAGAAGCACCGGCCAACUACGUGCCAGCAGCCGCGGUAAUACGUAGGGUGCGAGCGUUGUCCGGAAUUAUUGGGCGUAAAGGGCUCGUAGGCGGUUUGUCGCGUCGGGAGUGAAAACCCAGGGCUUAACUCUGGGCUUGCUUCCGAUACGGGCAGACUAGAGGCAUGCAGGGGAGAACGGAAUUCCUGGUGUAGCGGUGAAAUGCGCAGAUAUCAGGAGGAACACCGGUGGCGAAGGCGGUUCUCUGGGCAUGUCCUGACGCUGAGGAGCGAAAGUGUGGGGAGCGAACAGGAUUAGAUACCCUGGUAGUCCACACCGUAAACGUUGGGCGCUAGGUGUGGGAUCCAUUCCACGGGUUCCGUGCCGCAGCUAACGCAUUAAGCGCCCCGCCUGGGGAGUACGGCCGCAAGGCUAAAACUCAGAGGAAUUGACGGGGGCCCGCACAAGCGGCGGAGCAUGCGGAUUAAUUCGAUGCAACGCGAAGAACCUUACCUGGGGUUUGACAUACGCCGGGAAA
rnacentral:rRNA from 1 species